rfam:Dracunculus medinensis genome assembly, scaffold: DME_scaffold0000067
UUGUACCCUCUUCCCUGAGACCUCUGCUGUGAUAAUAUAAGAUAUCACAGUAUGAGUACCUCAGGGGCCAGGUUUCU